AUACGGAGGGUGCAAACGUUGUUCGGAAUUACUGGGCGUAAAGCGCGCGUAGGCGGUUUGUUAAGUCAGAUGUGAAAGCCCAAGGCUCAACCUUGGACGUGCAUUUGAAACUGGCAGACUUGAGUACUGGAGGGGAUGGUGGAAUUCCCGGUGUAGAGGUGAAAUUCGUAGAUAUCGGGAGGAAUACCGGUGGCGAAGGCGACCAUCUGGCCAGAUACUGACGCUGAGGUGCGAAAGCAUGGGGAGCAAACAGAAUUAGAUACCCCAGUAGUCC
rnacentral:rRNA from 1 species